rnacentral:lncRNA from 1 species
GAGGAGGGCGAGGACUCGGACUCCGAGUAGGUAUGUGGGCGCUCUAGCCUUUUUAUCACUUUCAAUGGGGACAUUGAAAAUUUUAAGUUUGGGGGUGGUAAUCUAAGGAAGAGCAUAUUAUUAUGCAGUUUAUUGCAUGUGUAGUUAGUUCAUGUAGUUCACGUUUUUUUUUAUUUUAUUUUGUUUUUAUUUCUCACGUUUUUAGUUCACGUUUUUUUUUAUUUUAUUUUGUUUUUAUUUCUCACGUUUUUUUUCUCAUAUUUUUUUUUUAUUUUAUUUUUACAUGUUUAGUAGUAAUUGUUGUAGCUAGUAUCACGAGCAUUUGCAUGAAUUAUGAAGUUAAGCCAAGUUAAUUGCCUAUGAUGAGUUAUGUGCGUAGUUCUUGAUUAGUAAUUUCAAUUGCAAUGCUAGGUUAGUACUUAGAAAUUGCUUGUGUUGGAAAUUGUAAUUCACAUAUGUUCUUGAGAUAGGAUUUAGACGAAAUUCCAUGAAUUCUAGGAUUGAAUUGAACACCCUUCAGCUUAGGUCUGUAAAUCUUAAGUUUGGGGGAACUGAGGAGUAGAUAUACCUUUCUAAAAAAAAAAAUAGAUAGAAAAAAAAAAAAAAGUAGUAAAUAAAUUCACUAAAAAAAUAAGUGGUAGAAUUAACUAGGUUGAGCUCAUUAGUACUCGAGUAAUUAAGUCUGAGGGGACUUUGUGCCUAACAACCUAAAGCCCUUCGUGGUUUGGGAUUUGUUGACCCAACGCUCGCUACAUGGGUACUAGUGCAUAAAUCUUUAGGGAUCUCAACCAUUGCACGGUUAAAUAAACCACUAGAAUAGAGUGAAUAAUUGGUGUGUGAAGUCUUGUGGUGUUCGUAACGCAUUUACACUGCGAAGCGCUCUGACCUUAGACCAAGCAAUUAAUCACCAAU